rnacentral:rRNA from 1 species
AGUCGAACGCCCGAGCAAUCGGGAGUGGCAGACGGGCGGGUAACACGUGGGAACACACCCUUCGGUUCGGAACAACGUUUGGAAACGAACGCUAAUACCGGAUACGGCUUGAGGGCGAAAGAUUCAUCGCCGAAGGAUUGGCCCGCGUUCGAUUAGCUAGAUGGCGGGGUAACGGCCCACCAUGGCGACGAUCGAUAGCUGGUCUGAGAGGAUGGCCAGCCACAUUGGGACUGAGACACGGCCCAAACUCCUACGGGAGGCAGCAGUGGGGAAUAUUGGACAAUGGGCGCAAGCCUGAUCCAGCCAUGCCGCGUGAGUGAUGACGGCCUUAGGGUUGUAAAGCUCUUUCGCACGCGACGAUAAUGACGGUAGCGUGAGAAGAAGCCCCGGCUAACUUCGUGCCAGCAGCCGCGGUAAUACGAAGGGGGCUAGCGUUGUUCGGAAUCACUGGGCGUAAAGGGUGCGUAGGCGGAUUCUUAAGUCAGGGGUGAAAUCCCGAGGCUCAACCUCGGAACUGCCUUUGAUACUGGGGAUCUUGAGUCCGGAAGAGGUGAGUGGAACUGCGAGUGUAGAGGUGAAAUUCGUAGAUAUUCGCAAGAACACCGGUGGCGAAGGCGGCUCACUGGUCCGGAACUGACGCUGAGGCACGACAGCGUGGGGAGCAAACAGGAUUAGAUACCCUGGUAGUCCACGCCGUAAACGAUGAAUGCCAGCCGUUGGGUGAUUUAUCACUGAGUGGCGCAGCUAACGCUUUGAGCAUUCCGCCUGGGGAGUACGGUCGCAAGAUUAAAACUCAAAGGAAUUGAC